rnacentral:lncRNA from 1 species
CCAAGUGUAUGUAUUGGAAUCCAACAAAUUAAUUUGAUCAGAUGGUUUGAUCAAUUCUAAAUAUAGGUUUAGAAUUUGAUCAAGAUUGUGAUUUGACUCUAGUUUUAUAUGCUAGAGAAUCGAAUAUUUUGGGAAUUGGGAUGUUCGUGAAAAUUGAACUUGAGUUUAGUUUAACGACAUUUCGGUCGAUGUCGGAUUUAGGUUUAGUUUAACGACGUUUCGGUCGGUUGAUUUGGUGGAUUAGUUUAACGACGUUUCGGUCGAAGUUUUGGGUUUGGUUCACAAGGUUUAUGGUAUUGGGUAUAUGGGAUUAUGGUUCAUGAACUUAGAUAUGGCUCAUGGAUUUAUGGUUCAUGGACUUAUGGUUCAUGGACUUAUGGUUCAUGGGUUUGAAUAUGGGUUAA